rnacentral:tRNA from 1 species
GUCCCCUUCGUCUAUUGGUUAGGACAUGACUCUUUCAAGGUUAAAAGAUGGGUUCAAUUCCCAUAGGGGAU